rnacentral:rRNA from 1 species
UAGGGAAUCUUCGGCAAUGGACGGAAGUCUGACCGAGCAACGCCGCGUGAGUGAAGAAGGUUUUCGGAUCGUAAAGCUCUGUUGUAAGAGAAGAACGAGUGUGAGAGUGGAAAGUUCACACUGUGACGGUAUCUUACCAGAAAGGGACGGCUAACUACGCGCCAGCAGCCGCGGUAAUACGUAGGUCCCGAGCGUUGUCCGGAUUUAUUGGGCGUAAAGCGAGCGCAGGCGGUUAGAUAAGUCUGAAGUUAAAGGCUGUGGCUUAACCAUAGUAGGCUUUGGAAACUGUUUAACUUGAGUGCAAGAGGGGAGAGUGGAAUUCCAUGUGUAGCGGUGAAAUGCGUAGAUAUAUGGAGGAACACCGGUGGCGAAAGCGGCUCUCUGGCUUGUAACUGACGCUGAGGCUCGAAAGCGUGGGGAGCAAACAGGAUUAGAUACCCUGGUAGUCCACGCCGUAAACGAUGAGUGCUAGGUGUUAGACCCUUUCCGGGGUUUAGUGCCGUAGCUAACGCAUUAAGCACUCCGCCUGGGGAGUACGACCGCAAGGUUG